UUUUUAAAUUGAGAGUUUGAUCCUGGCUCAGGAUGAACGCUGGUGGCGUGCCUAAUACAUGCAAGUCGUACGCUAGCCGCUGAAUUGAUCCUUCGGGUGAAGUGAGGCAAUGACUAGAGUGGCGAACUGGUGAGUAACACGUAAGAAACC
rnacentral:rRNA from 1 species